UUUUAGUUGCUGGAUGAGAAAGGAAGUCUAUCCCUUAAUAGAUCAGCCACCAUCCAGUGGAAGACCACACACACAUCAAGGGAUAUUUGGGUAGCACAGUUGGUUUGGAAGAAAAAGGGAAAAUAUACACAAAGUUGGGUGUGAAGUGGGGAGAUCUGGCAAGAGCUGGGGAGGCCGGUGAAUAGGAUCAAGACAUAGAUAGCAGUGCUUAUCUAACAUUCCCUCUGUGAAGACUGUCUUCCCUGUCUUCACACUGGUAGCACCCACGAGUCUUCAUGGGUGUGACAGGGCAUCCCUGACUCCAGAGCUUUCUGCAUCCCUGCUACCUUCUUCCAGUUGACUGUCUCAUACCUGCAUGUUUCCUUGCUGAUGUUUUCCUUGAUGCUUCAGGACUGCUGUGACUUAUUCUCAUUGAAUUCCUCCUCGGCUAGACUCUAAGAUCGUCACACCAGGGUCACCUCGGGACCCCACAGCCCUGAGACCCGAUAACUGCUUAUUACACACUUGCUAAAGAAGCCAACACUGAUCAAGUCACUUCUCUGCAGGGAAAUUGAGCUGAAUCUCAGAUGAGGACCAGGAGGCCCUCAGACAGCUGCGGGAGCAGAUUUGAAGACUGACUUCACAGGAAUGAGAAGGUACUUCGGAGAGGCUUCUGGUUUCGUGCAGACAGGAGCAGGAGAAUGCCCGUGUUCACGCUGAACCUCCACUUGGAGUUAGCCCGAGUGUGAAGCAGGACCCAUACAUUGUCACAGCUCUCACCACUCCUGCUUGGGAUUUAACUCAACUCAACUAUAUGACUCCCAGAAGAAAGCAGGCACACAGGUAAUCACAAGGGACUGGAGGCCAGAGUCCCUGAAGUCAGCAGUGUUUCCACAUGAAUAGGAGAAGGCGUCUGGAUGCUCACAGCAAACCCUGUCCUUCAGUCUGCUGAGCAGGUGUUUUCCUGGCCUCCAUCCUGGGCAACACCACUGCUUCCUGAAGGAGCCCUGGCAGAUGGAAUAGCUGAGCAGCAGGCACAGCGUCUGACCCAGCCACCCUGACUGCACCGUUAGGAGACUUGAAGGGAAGAACGAUUUGCCUGUUUGUAGAGCUGAAGAUUGAGUCUGAAGUCUGUGACCUACCCUGGCUUCCUAGGAGAUGAGUUUAGGUUUGGCCUGACAUGUUCUAAGCCCUACUUUGAUGAAUAUUUUACCACAUUUCAUCAAGUCAAAAAAUAAAUAAGAUUUCCCAAGA
rnacentral:lncRNA from 1 species